rnacentral:tRNA from 1 species
GCCGAAGUGGUGGAACUGGUAGACGCGCUGCGUUCAGGGCGCAGUGGGCUUAAGCCCGUGGGGGUUCGAGUCCCCCCUUCGGCA